rnacentral:rRNA from 1 species
UUAAGUUAUUAAGGGCGCACGGUGGAUGCCUUGGCACUAGAAGCCGAUGAAGGACGUUACUAACGACGAUAUGCUUUGGGGAGCUGUAAGUAAGCUUUGAUCCAGAGAUUUCCGAAUGGGGAAACCCAGCAUGAGUUAUGUCAUGUUAUCGAUAUGUGAAUACAUAGCAUAUCAGAAGGCACACCCGGAGAACUGAAACAUCUUAGUACCCGGAGGAAGAGAAAGAAAAUUCGAUUCCCUUAGUAGCGGCGAGCGAAAUGGGAAGAGCCCAAACCAACAAGCUUGCUUGUUGGGGUUGUAGGACACUCUAUACGGAGUUACAAAGGACGACAUUAGACGAAUCAUCUGGAAAGGUGAAUCAAAGAAGGUAAUAAUCCUGUAGUCGAAAAUGUUGUCUCUCUUGAGUGGAUCCUGAGUACGACGGAACACGUGAAAUUCCGUCGGAAUCUGGGAGGACCAUCUCCUAAGGCUAAAUACUCUCUAGUGACCGAUAGUGAACCAGUACCGUGAGGGAAAGGUGAAAAGCACCCCGGAAGGGGAGUGAAAUAGAACCUGAAACCGUGUGCUUACAAGUAGUCAGAGCCCGUUAAUGGGUGAUGGCGUGCCUUUUGUAGAAUGAACCGGCGAGUUACGAUUUGAUGCAAGGUUAAGCAGUAAAUGUGGAGCCGUAGCGAAAGCGAGUCUGAAUAGGGCGUUUAGUAUUUGGUCGUAGACCCGAAACCAGGUGAUCUACCCUUGGUCAGGUUGAAGUUCAGGUAACACUGAAUGGAGGACCGAACCGACUUACGUUGAAAAGUGAGCGGAUGAACUGAGGGUAGCGGAGAAAUUCCAAUCGAACCUGGAGAUAGCUGGUUCUCUCCGAAAUAGCUUUAGGGCUAGCCUCAAGUGAUGAUUAUUGGAGGUAGAGCACUGUUUGGACGAGGGGCCCCUCUCGGGUUACCGAAUUCAGACAAACUCCGAAUGCCAAUUAAUUUAACUUGGGAGUCAGAACAUGGGUGAUAAGGUCCGUGUUCGAAAGGGAAACAGCCCAGACCACCAGCUAAGGUCCCAAAAUAUAUGUUAAGUGGAAAAGGAUGUGGCGUUGCCCAGACAACUAGGAUGUUGGCUUAGAAGCAGCCAUCAUUUAAAGAGUGCGUAAUAGCUCACUAGUCGAGUGACACUGCGCCGAAAAUGUACCGGGGCUAAACAUAUUACCGAAGCUGUGGAUUGUCCUUUGGACAAUGGUAGGAGAGCGUUCUAAGGGCGUUGAAGCAUGAUCGUAAGGACAUGUGGAGCGCUUAGAAGUGAGAAUGCCGGUGUGAGUAGCGAAAGACGGGUGAGAAUCCCGUCCACCGAUUGACUAAGGUUUCCAGAGGAAGGCUCGUCCGCUCUGGGUUAGUCGGGUCCUAAGCUGAGGCCGACAGGCGUAGGCGAUGGAUAACAGGUUGAUAUUCCUGUACCACCUAUAAUCGUUUUAAUCGAUGGGGGGACGCAGUAGGAUAGGCGAAGCGUGCGAUUGGAUUGCACGUCUAAGCAGUAAGGCUGAGUAUUAGGCAAAUCCGGUACUCGUUAAGGCUGAGCUGUGAUGGGGAGAAGACAUUGUGUCUUCGAGUCGUUGAUUUCACACUGCCGAGAAAAGCCUCUAGAUAGAAAAUAGGUGCCCGUACCGCAAACCGACACAGGUAGUCAAGAUGAGAAUUCUAAGGUGAGCGAGCGAACUCUCGUUAAGGAACUCGGCAAAAUGACCCCGUAACUUCGGGAGAAGGGGUGCUCUUUAGGGUUAACGCCCAGAAGAGCCGCAGUGAAUAGGCCCAAGCGACUGUUUAUCAAAAACACAGGUCUCUGCUAAACCGUAAGGUGAUGUAUAGGGGCUGACGCCUGCCCGGUGCUGGAAGGUUAAGAGGAGUGGUUAGCUUCUGCGAAGCUACGAAUCGAAGCCCCAGUAAACGGCGGCCGUAACUAUAACGGUCCUAAGGUAGCGAAAUUCCUUGUCGGGUAAGUUCCGACCCGCACGAAAGGCGUAACGAUUUGGGCACUGUCUCAACGAGAGACUCGGUGAAAUCAUAGUACCUGUGAAGAUGCAGGUUACCCGCGACAGGACGGAAAGACCCCGUGGAGCUUUACUGUAGCCUGAUAUUGAAAUUCGGCACAGCUUGUACAGGAUAGGUAGGAGCCUUUGAAACGUGAGCGCUAGCUUACGUGGAGGCGCUGGUGGGAUACUACCCUAGCUGUGUUGGCUUUCUAACCCGCACCACUUAUCGUGGUGGGAGACAGUGUCAGGCGGGCAGUUUGACUGGGGCGGUCGCCUCCUAAAAGGUAACGGAGGCGCUCAAAGGUUCCCUCAGAAUGGUUGGAAAUCAUUCAUAGAGUGUAAAGGCAUAAGGGAGCUUGACUGCGAGACCUACAAGUCGAGCAGGGUCGAAAGACGGACUUAGUGAUCCGGUGGUUCCGCAUGGAAGGGCCAUCGCUCAACGGAUAAAAGCUACCCCGGGGAUAACAGGCUUAUCUCCCCCAAGAGUUCACAUCGACGGGGAGGUUUGGCACCUCGAUGUCGGCUCAUCGCAUCCUGGGGCUGUAGUCGGUCCCAAGGGUUGGGCUGUUCGCCCAUUAAAGCGGUACGCGAGCUGGGUUCAGAACGUCGUGAGACAGUUCGGUCCCUAUCCGUCGUGGGCGUAGGAAAUUUGAGAGGAGCUGUCCUUAGUACGAGAGGACCGGGAUGGACAUACCUCUGGUGUACCAGUUGUCGUGCCAACGGCAUAGCUGGGUAGCUAUGUGUGGACGGGAUAAGUGCUGAAAGCAUCUAAGCAUGAAGCCCCCCUCAAGAUGAGAUUUCCCAACUUCGGUUAUAAGAUCCCUCAAAGAUGAUGAGGUUAAUAGGUUCGAGGUGGAAGCAUGGUGACAUGUGGAGCUGACGAAUACUAAUCGAUCGAAGACUUAAUCAA